GAUGAACGCUGGCGGCGUGCCUAAUACAUGCAAGUCGAGCGAACGGACGAGAAGCUUGCUUCUCUGAUGUUAGCGGCGGACGGGUGAGUAACACGUGGAUAACCUACCUAUAAGACUGGGAUAACUUCGGGAAACCGGAACUAAUACCGGAUAAUAUUUUGAACCGCAUGGUUCAAAAGUAAAAGACGGUCUUGCUGUCACUUAUAGAUGGAUCCGCGCUGCAUUAGCUAGUUGGUAAGGUAACGGCUUACCAAGGCAACGAUGCAUAGCCGACCUGAGAGGGUGAUCGGCCACACUGGAACUGAGACACGGUCCAGACUCCUACGGGAGGCAGCAGUAGGGAAUCUUCCGCAAAGGGCGAAAGCCUGACGGAGCAACGCCGCGUGAGUGAUGAAGGUCUUCGGAUCGUAAAACUCUGUUAUUAGGGAAGAACAGAUGUGUAAGUAACUGUGCACAUCUUGACGGUACCUAAUCAGAAAGCCACGGCUAACUACGUG
rnacentral:rRNA from 1 species